GCGUCUACCCUCAGACCGGGAGAUGUUUGCACCACAGUCCAGAUCAAUCUGUUCUUCACGCCAUUUUCCAGAAGGUCACACAGGAAGUAGAAGAGAGGAAGAGAUUGUCCCCGCCCCCAUUACUGAGCAGGAAACAGAGUGAUGUCACUUCCUGCAGCUUCAUCUACAGACCAAGCAAACAAACAGGUUUCAUCCUAAAAACCCAAACGCUUUGGAUGGAAGCCGCUGCGGCCCGAACGCAUCUACCUUUAGGUUUCCAUGGUAACGGAAAGAGGGCGGAGUUAUGGAGAAGUCUGGACUAAAACAGGCAACAAGAGGCACCAAAAGAGCCGUUUGGUUGCCAUGGUGCUGCGACCUGCACGGCAGCCGCUUCUCAUCGAGACAUCGAGGCUGGUUACCAUGGCAACAGAGGAGAAUGCAGAAUCCUUAAAUCAAAGUUUAGGUCUGAUUCCAAGACCGAUCCUGUUAGGUCAUCGCCGUGGUUUUCCACGCCGUUACCAUGGAAACCACAGCAACACGGCGUCACAGACCUGCAGACCAGCAGCCGUGAAGCCCCUCCCACCUCUCUGCGGGGCCUCGGAGUGUCUGAUGAGGGCGGGAACUUUCCAGAAUCAAAGGAGGGUUUAAAAAUGAGUCUUCCUUUAAAUAAUCCUGUGAAAACAGCAGAAACCGGAGAUCCUCUUCGGGUCUGGAUCAGGAACUCGGAUCAGACGCUGAUCAAAUGAAAAACUUUGGAUUCUUUUCAGCUUCAACCGUCGUCUGCAGGACCUGACACACCUGAGCUCCGGCUUCACCUGCGACCGUCACACACAAACAAACCAGACAUGAAACAGAACGGGCUGCGGACCGGCGCUGGUCCGUGGGUCACUGGAUACCGGGCCGCAGACAGAAACAAAUAAAUUAUGUGCUAACUUAUUUGAUUUAGUUCAUUUUUGGAUCCUGAAGGAAGUUUUAUUUUGAAAGAGUUCCAGAUUCUGUUCACAACAUUCUGGGUCAUGUGACUUACAGCAGCUAACUAGCAUGGCUAACUAGAUCGCUAAGCUAGCAGCUCAGAGCUAAAUACAAAAGCCAAACCAUGAAGCAUAUUUGGAAAGUUUCUUUGGAGAGAAGAAGAUCUUCAGAGAAGGAUCUGCUGCUCACGGACCGUCAGGGACCGUUCACUCUGACGCCGCGUCUCAUCCGUCCGUCACCCCCCUCCCCCACCCCCGCCCCCUCGGGUGAGACAACAGAAAGAAAAGUUCAUUCAGCUCGUGCUGCUCUGCAGUCGCCAUGGAGACCGGCGUGAAAGGAGCCCCGUUCAGGGCAGGGGACGCGGCCGCCCUCCACCCACCUCGCCCCCGCUCUGCACCAGCUGAGCGUCAGGAAGCUCCGCCCCCUGCUCUCCCUGCUCACUGAAGAAGAAGAAAAAACGAAACUAAAAAUAAAAA